rnacentral:misc_RNA from 1 species
AACUUUCGGCAACGGAUCUCUUGGCUCUCGCAUCGAUGAAGAACGCAGCGAAAUGCGAUAAGUACUGUGAAUUGCAGAAUUCAGUGAAUCAUCGAAUCUUUGAACGCACCUUGCGCCCUUUGGCUAUUCCGAAGGGCGUGCCUGUUUGAGUAUCAUGAACACCUCAACUCCUCAUGGUUUGCCAUGAUGAGCUUGGACCUUGGGGGUAUUGCUGGCCCUGUGGGUUGGCUCCUCUCAAAUGGAUCAGCUUGCCAGUGUUUGGUGGCAUCGCAGGUGUGAUAAAUAUCUACGCUUGCGGUUUUCCACCAUGUAACCUUCAGCGAUGAAGGUGUGCUGGAGCUCACAAACGUCCCUCAGCAAGGACAGCUUUUGAACGUUUGAUCUCAAAUCAGGUAGGAUUACCCGCUGAACUUAAGCAUAUCAAUAAGCGGAGGCU